GAGACAGAGAGCACGCAUCAGCAGGAGGACGAGGACGGCGGGCCAAAGCUGGACCCGAGGCGGUUCGAGGAGAAGUUCGCGGUGCUGAACACGGGGGUCCACGAGUGCCGGUCCUACGGGCACCGCUACGACCAGGCGGCGGGGGACCCGUCGUACCCGGUGCCGUCGGGCCUCCCCUUCGCGCAGCUGCCCGACGACUGGCGGUGCCCCACCUGCGGCGCCGCGCAGACUUCUUCGAGAGCAAGAGCGUGGAGAUUGCCGGGUUCGCGCAGAACCAGCAGUUCGGGCUGGGCGGCAACUCCUUCACCUCCGGCCAGAAGGGCCUGCUCAUCUAUGGCAGCCUCCUCAUCGACUUCCUCUUCUUCAUCUCCGGCUACUUCCUGCAAUGAUGACGCCAACAACGACUCUUUCUGAUCUUAUCUGCUUUCCGUUUGUGUGAAUAGAAUACUUCGUCCGUGCAUGUACUCCUCCCCACUCCCAGGGAACAACAUUCAUCAUCAAUCGAGUAGAAACUCUUGGUUUUAGAUUUUUUUUGAUUUGAUGCGGUGAUCGUUAAGUUCACAGGAACACCGAGCGCAUAUCCCCUCCAUGGUUGUAAUAUGUGGGCAACAAAACUACAAACUACACACAAAGCAUGUCAUAGGCAGAGUGGUAGAGGAGGGUACGCGUGGUGCACACAUAUCUUAUCCACCCAUGGCCUGGCCUCCAUCUGUGUUCCUGAUGCCCGUGGCCAUCACCAACCGCCUGUGCUAUUUUUAGUGGCGGUUUAUUAAGAAAACCGCCACUAGAAAUCGUAUUUCCAGAGGCGGUUCCUUAAGAAAACCGCCACUAGAAAUCAUUUUUAUCCUUAAUUUUUCGAGUUUUUCAAACAACCUCGUAUGAUGAAACCACCAAAAUAAAAGUUGUAUAUCUCUGAAAGUUAUAAAACUUUAUAAUUGACAACUGUUUUUUUUUGAAAUCAUUUCGUCUCUCAAAAAUUGUAUCUAAAUUUGUCAAAUUUAAAAUUCAAAUUUUGCAAACGACCUCGGAUUAAAAAUUAUUCAACUUUGUAGUUGACAACGUUUUUAUUUGAAUUAGUUUACGGUCUCAAAUAAGCAAUUUACACUCAUUUGGUUGUAAUAUGUGGGCAACAAAACUACAAACUAGACACAAAGCAUGUCAUAGGCAGAGCGGUAGAGGAGGGUACGCGUGGUGCACACAUAUCUUAUCCACCCAUGGCCUGGCCUCCAUCUGUGUUCCUGAUGCCCGUGGCCAUCACAGGAACACCGAGCGCAUAUCCCCUCCAUGGAUUCCUGCUUCCCUCUCCUUCCCUAGGCCAGCUCCUAGCUUUCUUCCCUAGCUAGGGCAUAUACCGUUUCUAUCCAGGAGGAGUCCAGAGAGACACACACACACACACAGAGAGAGAGAGAGAGAUUGACGAUGGCGUUAGCCUGUGCAGCAGCCAGGCUAGUCCACCCAUGCAUUGGCAUGGGCAUGGUGUCCAAGCAUCACCCAAGAACACCGCCACCGUCCUCCUGCUGCCUACACCUCCACCACAUCCUCUACCUUAGGCCCGUCGCCAGCAGCCACCACUUGGCGCGCCACUCCGUCGACGUCACCAAGGACGACAAGCCGCUUGAGCCGCCGCCGCCGGCGGCUGCAUAGACAGAGAGCACACAGCAGGAGGAGGACGAGGACGGCGGGCCAAAGCUGGACCCGAGGCGGUUCGUGGAGAAGUUCGCGGUGCUGAACACGGGGGUCCACGAGUGCCGGUCCUGCGGGUACCGCUACGACCAGGAGGCGGGGGACCCGUCGUACCCGGUGCCGCCGGGCCUCCCCUUCGCGCAGCUGCCCGACGACUGGCGGUGCCCCACCUGCGGCGCCACGCAGUCCUUCUUCGAGAGCAAGAGCGUGGAGAUCGUCGGGUUCGCGCAGAACCAGCAGUUCGGGCUGGGCGGCAACUCCCUCACCUCCGGCCAGAAGGACCUGCUCAUCUACGGCAGCCUCCUCAUCGGCUUCCUCUUCUUCAUCUCCGGCUACUUCCUGCAAUGAUGAUGCCAACAACGACUCUUUCUGAUCUGAUUUGCUUUCCGUUUGUGUGAAUAGAAUACUUCAUCCGUGCAUGUACUCCUCUCCACUCCUAGGGAACAACAUUCAUCAUCAAUCGACUAGAAACUCUUGGUUUUAGAUUUUUUGAUUUGAUGCGGUGAUCGUUAAGUUCACAGGAACACCGAGCGCAUAUCCCCUCCAUGGUUGUAAUAUGUGGGCAACAAAACUACAAACUAGACACAAAGCAUGUCAUAGGCAGAGUGGUAGAGGAGGGUACGCGUGGUGCACACAUAUCUUAUCCACCCAUGGCCUGGCCUCCAUCUGUGUUCCUGAUGCCCGUGGCCAUCACCAACCGCCUGUGCUAUUUCUAGUGGUGGUUUCUUAAGAAAACCGCCACUAGAAAUCAUGGGUUUCUAGUGGCGGUUUUCUUAAGAAACCGCCAGUAGAAAUCGAUUUCUAGUGGCGGUUUUCUUAAGGAACCGCCACUAGAAAUCAUUUUUAUCCUUAAUUUUUCGAGUUUUUCAAACGACCUCGUAUGAUGAAACCACCAAAAUAAAAGUUGUAGAUCUCUGAAAGUUAUAAAACUUUAUAGUUGACAACUUUUUUUUGAAAUCAUUUCGUCUCUCAAAAAUUGUAUCUAAAUUUGUCAAAUUUAAAAUUCAAAUUUUGCAAACGACCUCGGAUGAAAAAAGUGUCAAAAUGAAAGUUGUAGAACUUCAAAAAUUAUUCAAAUUUGUAGUUGACAACUUUUUUAUUUCAAUUCAUUUACGGUCUCAAACAAGCAAUUUACACUCAUUUGGUUGUAAUAUGUGGGCAACAAAACUACAAACUAGACAAAAAGCAUGCCAUAGGCAGAGUGGUAGAGGACGUUACGUGUGGUGCACACAUAUCUUAUAAACGCAUGGCCUGGCCUCCAUUUGUGUUCCUGAUGCCCGUGGCCAUCACACGAACACCGAGCGCAUUUCCCCUCCAUGGAUUCCUGCUUCCCUCUCCUUCCCUAGGCCAUCUCUUAGCUUUCUUCCCUAGCUAGGGCAUAUAUCGUUUCUAUCUAGGAGGAGUCCAGAGAGAGAGAGAUUGACGAUGGCGUUAGCAUGUGCAGCAGCCAGGCUAGUCCACCUAUGCAUUGGCAUGGGCAUGGUGUCCAAGCAGCACCCAAGAACACCGCUGUCGUCCUCCUGCUGCCUACACCUCCACCACAUCCUCUACCUUAGGCCCGUCGCCAGCAGCCACCACAUGGCGCGCCACUCCGUCUACGUCACAAAGGACGACAAGCCGCUUGAGUCGCCGCCGGCAGCGGCUGCAGAGAUAGAGAGCACGCAGCAGGAGGAGGACGAGGACGGUGGGCCAAAGCUGGACCCGAGGCGGUUCGAGGAGAAGUUCGCGGUGCUGAACACGGGGGUCCACGAGUGCCGGUCCUGCGGGUACCGCUACGACCAGGCGGCGGGGGACCCGUCGUACCCGGUGCUGCCGGGCCUCCCCUUCGCGCAGCUGCCCGACGACUGGCGGUGCCCCACAUGCGGCGCCGCGCAGUCCUUCUUCGAGAGCAAGAGCGUGGAGAUCGCCGGGUUCGCGCAGAACCAGCAGUUCGGGCUGGGCGACAACUCCCUCACCUCCGGUCAGAAGGGCCUGCUCAUCUACGGCAGCCUCCUCAUCGGCUUCCUCUUCUUCAUCUCCGGCUACUUACUGCAAUGAUGACGCCAACAACGACUCUUUCUGAUCUGAUCUGCUUUCCGUUUGUGUGAAUAGAAUACUUCGUCCGUGCAUCUACUCCUCCCCACUCCCAGGGAACAACAUUCAUCAUCAAUCGACUAGAAACUCUUUGUUUUAGAUUUUUUUUGAUUUGAUGCGGUGAUCGUUAAGUUCACAGGAACACCGAGCGCAUAUCCCCUCCAUGGUUGUAAUAUGUGGGCAACAAAACUACAAACUAGACACAAAGCAUGUCAUAGGCAGAGUGGUAGAGGAGGGUACGCGUGGUGCACACAUAUCUUAUCCACCCAUGGCCUGGCCUCCAUCUGUGUUCCUGAUGCCCGGGGCCAUCACAGGAACACCGAGCGCAUAUCCCCUCCAUGGAUUCCUGCUUCCCUCUCCUUCCCUAGGCCAGCUCCUAGCUUUUUCCCUAGCUAGGGCAUAUACCGUUUCUAUCCAGGAGGAGUUCAGAGAGAGAGAGAGAGAUUGACGAUGGCGUUAGCCGUUGCAGCAGCCAGGCUAGUCCACCCAUGCAUUGGCAUGGGCAUGGUGUCCAAGCAGCACCCAAGAACACCGCUGCCGUCCUCCUGCUGCCUACACCUCCACCACAUCGUCUACCUUAGGCUCGUCGCCAGCAGCCACCACUUGGCUCGCCACUCCGUCGACGUCACCAAGGACGACAAGCCGCUUGAGCCGCCGCCGCCGGCGGCUGCAGAGACAGAGAGCACGCAGCAGCAGGAGGACGAGGAUGGCGGGCUAAAGCUGGACCCGAGGCGGUUCGAGGAGAAGUUCGCGGUGCUGAACACGGGGGUCCACGAGUGCCGGUCCUGCGGGUACCGCUACGACCAGGCGGCGGGGGACCCGUCGUACCCGGUGCUGCCGGGCAUCCCCUUCGCGCAGCUGCCCGACGACUGGCGGUGCCCCAACUGUGGCGUCGCGCAGUGCUUCUUCGAGAGAAAGAGCGUGGAGAUCGCCGGGUUCGCGCAGAACCAGCAGUUCGGGAUGGGCGGCAACUCCCUCACCUCUGGUCAGAAGGGACUGCUCAUCUACGGCAGCCUCCUCAUCGGCUUCCUCUUCUUCAUCUCCGGCUACUUCCUGCAAUGAUGACGCCAACAACGACUCUUUCUGAUCUGAUCUGCUUUCUGUUUGUGUGAAUAGAAUACUUCGUCCGUGCAUCUACUCCUCCCCACUCCCAGGGAACAACAUUCAUCAUCAAUCGGCUAGAAACUCUUUGGUUUAGAUUUUUUUUGAUUUGAUGCGGUGAUCGUUAAGUUCACAGGAACACCGAGCUCAUAUCCCCUCCAUGGUUGUAAUAUGUGGGCAACAAAACUACAAACUAGACACAAAACAUGUCAUAGGCAGAGUGGUAGAGGAGGGUACGCGUGGUGCACACAUAUCUUAUCCACCCAUGGCCUGGCCUCCAUCUGUGUUCCUGAUGCCUGUGGCCAUCACCAACCGCCUGUGCUAUUUUUAGUGGCGGUUUCUUAAGAAAUCCGCCACUAGAAAAUCAUGGAUUUCUAGUGGCGGUUUUCUUAAGGAACCGCCGGUAGAAAUCGAUUUCUCGUGGCGGUUUUCUCAAGGAACCGCCACUAGAAAUCAUUUUUAUCCUUAAUUUUUCGAGUUUUUCAAACAACCUCGUAUGAUGAAACCACCAAAAUAAAAGUUGUAGAUCUCUGAAAGUUAUAAAACUUUAUAGUUGACAACUUUUUUUUGAAAUCAUUUUGUCUCUCAAAAAUUGUAUCUAAAUUUGUCAAAUUUAAAAUUCAAAUUUUGCAAACGACCUCGUAUGAAAAAAGUGUCAAAAUGAAAGUUGUAGAACUUCAAAAAUUAUUCAACUUUGUAGUUGACAACUUUUUUAUUUGAAUUCGUUUACGGUCUCAAACAAGCAAUUUACACUCAUUUGGUUGUAAUAUGUGGCAACAAAACUACAAACUAGACACAAAACAUGUCAUAGGCAGAGUGGUAGAGGAGGGUACGCGUGGUGCACACAUAUCUUAUCCACCCAUGGCCUGGCCUCCAUCUGUGUUCCUGAUGCCCGUGGCCAUCACAGGAACACCGAGCGCAUAUCCCCUCCAUGAAUUCCUGCUUCCCUCUCCUUCCCUAGCUAGGGCAUAUACCCAGGGAACAACAUUCAUCAUCAAUCGACUAGAAACUCUUGGUUUUAGAUUUUUUUUUUGAUUUGAUGCGGUGAUCGUUAAGUUCACAGGAACACCGAGCGCAUAUCCCCUCCAUGGUUGUAAUAUGUGGGCAACAAAAGUACAAACUAGACACAAAGCAUGUCAUAGGCAGAGUGGUAGAGGAGGGUACGCGUGGUGCACACAUAUCUUAUCCACCCAUGGCCUGGCCUCCAUCUGUGUUCCUGAUGCCCGUGGCCAUCACCAACCGCCUGUGCUAUUUUUAGUGGCGGUUUCUUAAGAAAACCGGCACUAGAAAUCGUAUUUCCAGAGGCGGUUCCUUAAGAAAACCGCCACUAGAAAUCAUGGAUUUCUAGUGGCGGUUUUCUUAAGGAACCGCUAGUAGAAAUCGAUUUCUCGUGGCGGUUUUCUUAAGGAACCGCCACUAGAAAUCAUUUUUAUCCUUAAUUUUUCGAGUUUUUCAAACGACCUCGUAUGAUGAAACCACCAAAAUAAAAGUUGUAGAUCUCUGAAAGUUAUAAAACUUUAUAGUUGACAACUUUUUUUUAAAUCAUUUUGUCUCUCAAAAAUUGUAUCUAAAUUUGUCAAAUUUAAAAUUCAAAUUUUGCAAACGACCUCGGAUGAAAAAAGUGUCAAAAUGAAAGUUGUAGAACUUCAAAAAUUAUUCAACUUUGUAGUUGACAACUUUUUUCUUUGAAUUCGUUUACGGUCUCAAACAAGCAAUUUAGACUCAUUUGGUUGUAAUAUGUGGGCAACAAAACUACAAACUAGACACAAAGCAUGUCAUAGGCAGGGUGGUAGAGGAGGGUACGCGUGGUGCACACAUAUCUUAUCCACCCAUGGCCUGGCCUCCAUCUGUGUUCCUGAUGCCCGUGGCCAUCACAGGAACACCGAGCGCAUAUCCCCUCCAUGAAUUCCUGCUUCCCUCUCCUUCCCUAGGCCAGCUCCUAGCUUUCUUCCCUAGCUAGGGCAUAUACCUAGGGAACAACAUUCAUCAUCAAUGGACUAGAAACUCUUGGUUUUAGAUUUUUUUUGAUUUAAUGCGGUGAUCGUUAAGUUCACAGGAACACCGAGCGCAUAUCCCCUCCAUGGUUGUAAUAUGUGGGCAACAAAAGUACAAACUAGACACAAAGCAUGUCAUAGGCAGAGUGGUAGAGGAGGGUACGCGUGGUGCACACAUAUCUUAUCCACCCAUGGCCUGGCCUCCAUCUGUGUUCCUGAUACCCGUGGCCAUCACCAACCGCCUGUGCUAUUUUUAGUGGCGGUUUCUUAAGAAAACCGCCACUAGAAAUCGUAUUUCCAGAGGCGGUUCCUUAAGAAAACCGCCAGUAGAAAUCGAUUUCUAGUGGCGGUUUUCUUAAGGAACCGCCACUAGAAAUCAUUUUUAUCCUUAAUUUUUCGAGUUUUUCAAACGACCUCAUAUGAUGAAACCACUAAAAUAAAAGUUGUAGAUCUCUGAAAGUUAUAAAACUUUAUAGUUGACAACUUUUUUUUUGAAAUCAUUUCGUCUCUCAAAAAUUGUAUCUAAAUUUGUCAAAUUUAAAAUUCAAAUUUUGCAAACGACCUCGGAUGAAAAAAGUGUCAAAAUGAAAGUUGUAGAACUUCAAAAAUUAUUCAACUUUGUAGUUGACAACGUUUUUAUUUGAAUUAGUUUACGGUCUCAAACAAACAAUUUACACUCAUUUGGUUGUAAUAUGUGGGCAACAAAACUACAAACUAGACACAAAGCAUGUCAUAGGCAGAGUGGUAGAGGAGGGUACGCGUGGUGCACACAUAUCUUAUCCACCCAUGGCCUGGCCUCCAUUUGUGUUCAUGAUGCCCGUGGCCAUCACAGGAACACCGAGCGCAUAUCCCCUCCAUGGAUUCCUGCUUCCCUCUCCUUCCCUAGGCCAGCUCCUAGCUUUCUUCCCUAGCUAGGGCAUAUACCGUUUCUAUCCAGGAGGAGUCCAGAGUGAGACAGAGAGAGAGAGAUUGACGAUGGCGUUAGCCUAUGCAGCAGCCAGGCUAGUCCACCCAUGCAUUGGCAUGGGCAUGGUGUCCAAGCAGCACCCAAGAACACCGCCAUCGUCCUCCUGCUGCCUACACCUCCACCACAUCCUCUACCUUAGGCCCGUCGUCAGCAGCCACCACUUGGCGCGCCACUCCGUCGACGUCACCAAGAACGACAAGCCGCUUGAGCCGCCGCCGCCGCCGGCUGCAGGGACAGAGAGCACACAUCAGCAGGAGGACGAGGACGGCGGGCCAAAGCUGGACCUGAUGAGGUUCGAGGAGAAGUUCGCGGUGCUGAACACGGGGGUCCACGAGUGCCGGUCCUGCGGGUACCGCUACGACCAGGCGGCAGGGGACCCGUCGUACCCGGUGCCGCCGGGCCUCCCCUUCGCGCAGCUGCCCGACGACUGGUGGUGCCCCACCUGCGGCGCCACGCAGUCCUCCUUCGAGAGCAAGAGCGUGGAGAUCGUCGGGUUCGCGCAGAACCAACAGUUCGGGCUGGGCGACAACUCCCUCACCUUCGGCCAGAAGGGCCUGCUCAUCUACGACAACCUCCUCAUCGGCUUCCUCUUCUUCAUCUCUCGCUACUUCCUGCAAUGAUGACGCCAACAACGACUCUUUCUGAUCUGAUCUGCUUUCUGUUUGUGUGAAUAGAAUACUUCGUCCGUGCAUGUACUCCUCCCCACUCCCAGGGAACAACAUUCAUCAUCAAUCGACUAGAAACUCUUGGUUUUAGAUUUUUUUUGAUUUGAUGCGGUGAUCGUUAAGUUCACAGGAACACCGAGCGCAUAUCCCCUCCAUGGUUGUAAUAUGUGGGCAACAAAACUACAAACUAGACACAAAGCAUAUCAUAGGCAGAGUAGUAGAGGAGGGUAUGCGUGGUGCACACAUAUCUUAUCCACCCAUGGCCUGGCCUCCAUCUGUGUUCCUGAUGCCCGUGGCCAUCACCAACCGCCUGUGCUAUUUUUAGUGGCGGUUUCUUAAGAAAACCGCCACUAGAAAUCCUAGUGGCGGUUUUCUUAAAGAACCGCCAGUAGAAAUCGAUUUCUAGUGGCGGUUUUCUUAAGGAACCGCCACUAGAAAUCAUUUUUAUCCUUAAUUUUUCGAGUUUUUCAAAUGACCUCGUAUAAUGAAACCACCAAAAUAAAAGUUGUAGAUCUCUGAAAGUUAUGAAACUUUAUAGUUGACAUCUUUUUUUUGAAAUCAUUUCGUCUCUCAAAAAUUGUAUCUAAAUUUGUCAAAUUUAAAAUUCAAAUUUUGCAAACGACCUCGGAUGAAAAAAGUGUCAAAAUAAAAGUUGUAGGACUUCAAAAAUUAUUCAACUUUGUAGUUGACAACUUUUUUAUUUGAAUUCGUUUACGGUCUCAAACAAGCAAUUUACACUUAUUUGGUUGUAAUAUGUGGGCAACAAAACUACAAACUAGACACAAAGCAUGUCAUAGGCAGAGUGGUAGAGGAGGGUACGCGUGGUGCACACAUAUCUUAUCCACCCAUGGCCUGGUCUCCAUCUGUGUUCCUGAUGCUCGUGGCCAUCACAGGAACACCGAGCGCAUAUCCCCUCCAUGGAUUCCUGCUUCCCUCUCCUUCCUUAGGCCAGCUCCUAGCUUUCUUCCCUAGCUAGGGCAUAUACCCAGGGACGAGGACGGCGGGCCAAAGCUGGACCCGAGGAGGUUCGAGGAGAAGUUCGCGGUGCUGAAAUCGGGGGUCCACGAGUGCCGGUCCUGCGGGUACCGCUACGACCAGGCGGCGGGGGACCCGUCGUACCCGGUGCCGCCGGGCCUCCCCUUCGCACAGCUGCCUGACGACUGGCGGUGCCCCACCUGCGGCGCCGCGCAGUCCUUCUUCGAGAGCAAGAGCGUGGAGAUCGUCGGGUUCGCGCAGAACCAGCAGUUCGGGCUGGGCGGCAACUCCCUCACCUCCGGCCAGAAGGGCCUGCUCAUCUACGGCAGCCUCCUCAUCGGCUUCCUCUUCUUCAUCUCCGGCUACUUCCUGCAAUGAUGACGCCAACAAGGACUCUUUCUGAUCUGAUCUGCUUUCAGUUUGUGUGAAUAGAAUACUUCGUCCGUGCAUGUACUCCUCCCCACUCCCAGGGAACAACAUUCAUCAUCAAUUGGCUAGAAACUCUUGGUUUUAGAUUUUUUUUGAUUUGAUGCGGUGAUCGUUAAGUUCACAGGAACACCGAGUGCAUAUCCUCUCCAUGGUUGCAAUAUGUGGGCAACAAAACUACAAACUAGACACAAAGCAUGUCAUAGGCAGAGUGGUAGAGGAGGGUACGCGUGGUGCACACAUAUCUUAUCCACCCAUGGCCUGGCCUCCAUCUGUGUUCCUGAUGCCCGUGGCCAUCACCAACCGCCUGUGCUAUUUUUAGUGGCGGUUUCUUAAGAAAACCGCCACUAGAAAUCGUAUUUCCAGAGGCGGUUCCUUAAGAAUACCGCCACUAGAAAUCCAUGAUUUCUAGUGGCGGUUUUCUUAAGGAACCGCCACUAGAAAUCAUUUUUAUCCUUAAUUUUUUGAGUUUUUCAAACGUCCUCGUAUGAUGAAAUCACCAAAAUAAAAGUUGUAGAUCUCUGAAAGUUAUAAAACUUUAUAGUUGACAACUUUUUUUUGAAAUCAUUUCGUCUCUCAAAAAUUGUAUCUAAAUUUGUCAAAUUUAAAAUUCAAAUUUUGUAAACGACCUCGGAUGAAAAAAGUGUCAAAAUGAAAGUUGUAGAACUUCAAAAAUUAUUCAACUUUGUAGUUGACAACUUUUUUAUUUGAAUUCGUUUACGGUCUCAAACAAUCAAUUUACACUCAUUUAGUUGUAAUAUGUGGGCAACAAAACUACAAACUAGACACAAAGCAUGUCAUAGGCAGAGUGGUAGAGGAGGGUACGCGUGGUGCACACAUAUCUUAUCCACCCAUGGCCUGGCCUCCAUCUGUGUUUCUGAUGCCCGUGGCCAUCACAGGAACACCGAGCGCAUAUCCCCUCCAUGGAUUCCUGCUUCCCUCUCCUUCCCUAGGCCAGCUCCUAGCUUUCUUCCCUAGCUAGGGCAUAUACCAUUUCUAUCCAGGAGGAGUCUAGAGAGAUAGAGAGAGAUUGACGAUGGCAUUAGCCUAUGCACCAGCCAGGCUAGUCCACCCAUGCAUUGGCAUGGGCAUGGUGUCCAAGCAGCACCCAAGAACACUGCCGCCGUCCUCCUGCUGCCUACACCUCCACCACAUCCUCUACCUUAGGCCCAUCGCCAGCAGCCACCACUUGGCGCGCCACUCCGUCGAUGUCACCAAGGACGACAAGCCGCUUGAGCCGCCGCCACCGGCGGCUGCAGAGACAGAGAGCACGCAGCAGCAGGAGGACGAGGACGGCGGGCCAAAGCUGGACCCGAGGCGGUUCGAGGAGAAGUUCGUGAUGCUGAACACGGGGGUCCAUGAGUGCCGGUCCUGCGGGUACCGCUACGACCAGGAGGCGGGGGACCCAUCGUACCUGGUGCCGCCGGGCCUCCCCUUCGCGCAGCUGCCCGACGACUGGCUGUGCCCCACCUGCGGCACCGCGCAGUCCUUCGAGAGCAAGAGCGUGGAGAUCGCCGGGUUCGCGCAGAACCAGCAGUUCGGGCUGGGCGACAACUCCCUCACCUCCGGCUAGAACCAGCAGAAUCUUGAGAUAUUUAGUUUAUACUCCUAAGUUUGGUCUUUGGUACCCCAAGGGAUCAUCUUUUGAUUUAUUAGGAUAUUCAGAUGCUGAUUGGGCAGGGUGUAAAAUUGAUAGGAAGAGCACAUCAGGGACUUGUCGGUUUCUGGGGAGAUCCCUGGUGUCUUGGGCUUCAAAGAAACAAAACUUAGUGGCUCUUUCUACCGCCGAAGCCGAGUAUAUUGCCGCAGGUCAUUGUUGCGUGCAAUUGCUUUGGAUGAGGCAAACCCUUAGGGACUAUGGCUACAAAUUUAGCAAAGUCCCUCUCCUAUGUGAUAAUGAGAGUGCAAUCCGCAUGGCGGAUAAUCCCGUUGAACACAGCCGCACUAAGCACAUAGCCAUUCGAUAUCACUUUUUGAGAGAUCACCAACAAAGGGGGAUAUCGAGAUAGCCUAUAUUAACACCAAAGAUCAAUUAGCUGAUAUCUUUACCAAGCCACUAGAUGAGAAAAGCUUUAUCAAGCUUAGGAAUGAGCUAAAUAUUCUUGAUUCUAGGAAUUUUGAUUGAUACUUUGCACACAUAGCUUAUUUAUAUACCUGUGAUCAUAUCUCUUUUAUGUCUAUGACUAAUGUGUUUUCAAGUGUAUUCUCAUGCUUAGUCAUAGAAUUGAAAGGGAAAAUGGAGCCACUCAACUCCAUCGGUACUAUUUACUCUUUGCCGGUAUUCCCCAUUUCUCCACAUUGGUAUAAUCUUCACUCAUAUUUAUUUGUUUACCAUUGGGGAGAAAGUAAAAUGGCUUAUAUUUCACUCACAAGUAUCCGUUUUUGGCGAUUCAUGCCAAAGGGGGAGAAAGUAUUAGCCCAAAGCAAAAGGACCGCACCACCAACGAAUUUUAAAAAUGAAGUUUUCAAAAUUAGUAUCUUAAUGUGUUUUCAAAAGAGGGAGAAAGUUCUAGUAUCUUCAAAAAUUUGUAAAACCCCCUUGAACACUAAGAGGAGAAUUUCAAAAGGGGUAGUUUUGUUUUAAGUCAAAGGAAAGCAUUUGAAACAGGGGGAGAAAAACUUCAAAUCUUGAAAAUGCUUCUUUCAAUCUUAUUCAUAUAACUUUGACUAUGUUGCAAAAGGAUUUUUGAAAAAUAUUUUACAAAGAAUUUGCAAAAACAAAACUCAUAGUGCAAGCGUGGUCCAAAAUUUUAAUAAGAAGAAAACAAUCCAUGCAUAUCUAUUGAAAUAAUCAUAUUGGUUUAAAUUCCAAGCAACCUUUGCACUUACAUUAUGCAAACUAGUUCAAUUCUACACUUUUAUAUUUGCUUUGGUUUGUGUUGGCAUCAAUCACCAAAAAGGGGGAGAUUGAAAGGGAAAUAGGGUCAAACCUUUUCCUAAAUAAUUUUGGUGGUUGAAUUGCCCAACACAAAUAUUUGGACUAACCAGUUUGCUCUAGAAUAUAUGUUCCACAAGUGCCAAAGGUUCACAACAAACCAAUACAAAGUUCAAAGAAAGGGUUCAAAACAAAGGAGCAAAGAAAACCGAAGUGUGCCCUGGUCUGGCGCACCAGACAGUGUCCGGUGCACCAGGGUGAAUCAACUCUGAACUUGCCACCUUCGGGUUUCUGGAAUUGCUCUCCGCUAUAAUUCACCGGACUGUCCGGUGUGCCAGCGGGAGCAACGGCUACAAGCGCCAACGGUCGUCUGCAAGUGAACAGUGAACAGUGCGACUACGCGCGUAAAAGUCAGAGCAGGCGCCAGAAGGAGCACCAGACAGUGAACAGUGACUGUCCGGUGCACCACCGGACUGUCCGGUGGCCCCACAUGUCAGAGCUCCAACGGUCGAACCCUAAUGGUUGGGUGACGUGGCUGGCGCACCGGACAGUGUCCGGUGGCGCACCGGACUGUCCGGUGCGCCAUACGGCAGCAGCCUUCCCCAACGGCCACUUUGGUGGUUGGGGCUAUAAAUACCCUCAACCACCAACACUUCAAAGUAUCCAAGUUUUCAGCCAUUGCAUUCAAUACAAGAGCUCUAGACUUCACUCCAAGACACAAACAAAAGAUCAAAUCCUCUCCCAAGUCCAAAGAUCAUUCCAAUCAAAUAGUGACUAGUGAGAGAGAGAUAUUUGUGUUCAUUUGAGUUCUUACGCUUGGAUCGCUUUUCUUCUUCCUUCUUUCUUGUUCUAAAGACACUUGUAAUCAACGCAAGAGACACCAAGUUGUGGUGGUCCUUGUAAGGGAUCUAAGUGACCCGUUGAUUGAAAAGAGAAGCUCACUCGGUCUAGGUGACCGUUUGAGAGAGGGAAAGGGUUGAAAGAGACUCGGUCUUUGUGACCACCUCAACGGGGACUAGGCCUUCGAGGGCCGAACCUCGGUAAAACAAAUCACCGUGUCACUCUCGCUAUUUGCUUGUGAUUUGUUUUCGCCCUCUCUUUCGGACUCGGUUUUAUUUCUAACGCUAACCCCGGCUUGUAGUUGUGCUUAAAGUUUAUAAUUUUCAGAUUCCGCCUAUUCACCCCCCCUCUAGGCGACUUUCAAUACUCACUCCUACCUCUCUCCCCACACACAAGAGCACGACCCAAACUCCAUUUCUAACUUGAAGAAUACCUCCCACUCUCUCUCUCACACAUCUCUUGCCUCUCCCAUUUCAAAUCUUUGGAGAGAAAUCUUGGAGUGAGUUUGAGAGCUGCGGUUUUUGUGCUUCAUCUCCAAAUUUCUCUUGCUCUUCUUCAUUCGAGUUUUGGUACUACAUCGAGUUCUUUGUGGAUUCAUUACUCUUGGAGCUUCUAGCUCCUAGACAACUAGGUGUCUCUUGUGAGUCUCCAAAUCUUGUGGAAGACCACAAGAAAGUUUGUAUUACCCGCUCAUUUGAGCAAAGAUUAGUGUGUGAGCUUGACCUUUGUGGUCAGCAAAGGGAGGAUUAGGGUUGAAAGAGACCCGGCUCUUUGUGGGCGCCUCAACGAGGAAGUAGGGCACCUUGGUGGUGUGACCGAACCUCGGGAUAAAUCUUGUGUCUCUUGUGUUCUUGUUCAUUGUGCUUAUACGUGUUCUUUGUUCUCUCACCAUUCCGUGAAAGAUUUGUUUAUAUCUUUUCGGUGUGUGGAUUUUGAGAAGUGCCCUUCUCAGAUCUACUACUUUGAACCAUGUGGAUCAUUUAGGACAUCUCAUUUCCAAAGUUAACUGGGUGAAUUUCGAGAUCAAUUCAGUUUUACCCAGUUUACUUCUAGUUUUUGUUGAAAAAGUUUUAACUUGCCUAUUCACCCCCCUCUAAGCAACUUUCAAAGACAAUACUCUUACACUCUCCACCUUCGUUGCUCUUCGCUAAAAACGUUUAUAUGUAUAGUUUUUAUGUGUUAUAAAAAAUAUCUCGCCUACUUUACGCUAAAGUAAAAAAUUAUAUCCUCUAUGCUAAGUAUAGGUCUUAGUUGGCUUAACUUUCCAACUUUGUGUCUCCAUGCUAAAAACCUUUGUAUGUUCAAUUUUACAUGUUAUAAAAAGAUUCUCUCAUCUACUCCGUGCUAGAGCAUAGGUUUGAGACUGUUUUAUUUCUCUUGUAGAUCACGAUACCGUAAGGUUCCUUUUCCUUAAGCACAAAAUAUAGGGAUUUCAUACCCUAUAUACUGGUUUUUUUCAAUGACGAGGUCUUAUUUUGCACGACUCUAGAAAAGUUGUAUCCUUUCUACUGCCCAUGAAGGAAGCAAAGGAGGUGAAGAAAAUUAAACUGGUUUUUAUCAGUUUCUAAUUUAUGUUAAUGAUAAUAGAGACAAAAUGACUCUUUACUUUAGGACACAAAAGAAUUCAAAAUAGAAAUGACCAAAACUUCACCAAAUAGGACCUACAUGUUACCACAAUAUUAAGAGUUUUAUUGGAUUAUUAUUCACUCUAAACUUUAGAGUUCUGAAGUUUUGUUUGGUUGAGUUGUGGCUUCUCAAAAAGUUGUUGUGAGUUUGAUUGAAUCAUUUUAUCUAAACUUUAAAUCUCUAAGGCCUUAUUUGGCUAAGUUGUGUGUCGUAGGAAGCUAUGACAUGGUUUAGGCUGUUAAAAAUUUGAAAGUCGUUUUGCUAAGCAGUUGCAGGUUCUGAAAAAACUAUUAAACGAACAUUACAUGUCAUCUACCUUCCUCAUCACUCAAAUCUUUCCCUCUCCCACUUACAAGCGGACCACACUCGUUAACUCUUUCUUCUACCUUCCUUAUACAAUGUAGGUUGUCGACUCAUCGUGAGGGUUGGUCGUGCCACGACGGAGCUUGCCACACUGUCUUUGGGGCUCUCUUCAUGAGUCUACAAACAGAGAAAGAACGAAACGACAUGUACAUAAUCAAUGGCAGGUGGGUAAUUCAUGGAAUUUUCUAACUCCAUAGUAGGUGAAAGCAAACAAAGCUAUUAUGAAAUUUGUACUAGGCAAAACUACUUUUAGUUGUGCUUUGGGUUGAGAGCCAACCCCUUUGAUUGCCUUUGGACAUUUUAAGAAGCCGAAGCAACUUGGAAAAGCCCAAGCAAAAAGGACCUAAAAGCUCUAUUUUUAUGAACUUUAGCUCUAUUUUUAGAUGUAAAGCUAUGUUGUAAUAUGAACAAAAGUUUAGAGCUAACUUUAGACCAUUUAUUUAGUGAUGAUAACUAAAAUUUAGAGGAGAAGAUUCACACAAAUGCUAAACGUUGUGAAAACUUUCAAGUAAGGACCACUGUGGCACAAAUUGGUUAAGUCCCGCGUUUUGCUGCAAUACAUUUUCGUUUUAAGCCUCUAACUUGAAGUCCCCACAAAAACGCUCUCAUAUGAAAAGGAAAUAUUUUGUUUUAUUUUUUCCACUAGGUGUACCUAUUUUGGCAAACUAUUUAUUAACAUAAGUUUAGUUCUAUCUGUAUGCAUAAGAGCAUUUUCGAGGGACUCUUCAUUUUUUCUUUUUAUUUGACUCUAUAUCUACCUCUUUAUAAAUAUUAUAUUCUAUAUGUAGUAUCUUAUUCCAAGAGAUUCUCUAGUAAAAAAGUUAGCUUGGCUAGUCGGAAUGACUAGCUAAAGUUGACUAUAGAGAGUACUAAUUUGAAGAGUCGGAUAGUUUAACGAGUUAGAUAGCUAAUCUGUUUGAGAGUUAUUUUGCAAUUAAAUAAUUAUUUUUUUUCUUCCGUAUCAGUAUAUUAGACAUAUUCUUGCAAGUUAAAAACAAUAAAAAACCGCUUUACCAUAGGUGAGGUGUGCCAACGAGCCCGCAUCAGCUUUUGGCCAGAUCAGUGCGCCGUGCGCUAGCUGCAUACUCCUACCGGUGAUGCAGUAUGGUGCGACCGGAUGAUGAUAUUGCGAUGUGCCACGCUCGCUUUCGUCGAGUGGAAGAUGACGACGCGCCCGCGGUGGCGGUGUGUGGAUGCGCAGACUCCCGGCAUAUCAAAAUCCGCACUCCCCAUUGGCCGGCCUCAUAUCCCCUUAUCCGCUUCGCCACCCGCGGUCUCGCCCACCACCCGCUCCGGCCGGCUCUUAGCUGCAUGCUCGCGCCGCCCUCCUCUCCAUCAUCCAGUGCUCUCUCCUCUUGCGAUUCGCUCGCUCGAUCCUAGCUUCCCUUCCAAGAAGCGCAGCGCCCAUGGCCAUGGCCACGCAAGCCUCCGCCGCCACGCGCCACCUGCUGGCCGCCGCCUGGGCGCCGGCGGCGAAGCCGCGGCAGCUGAGCUCGCAGCUCGCGCUGCCGUCGUCGUCCUCCCGCGGGCCGGCCCCGCUCCGCGCGUCCACCGAGGAGGCGGUGGAGGCGCCCAAGGGGUUCGUGGCCCCGCAGCUGGACCCCAGCACGCCGUCCCCGAUCUUCGGCGGCAGCACGGGCGGGCUGCUCCGCAAGGCGCAGGUGGAGGAGUUCUACGUCAUCACGUGGACGUCCCCCAAGGAGCAGGUGUUCGAGAUGCCCACCGGCGGCGCCGCCAUCAUGCGGGAGGGCCCCAACCUCUUGAAGCUGGCGCGCAAGGAGCAGUGCCUGGCGCUCGGCACCAGGUUGCGCUCCAAGUACAAGAUCACCUACCAGUUCUACCGCGUCUUCCCCAACGGCGAGGUGCAGUACCUCCACCCCAAGGACGGCGUCUACCCGGAGAAGGUCAACCCCGGCAGGGAGGGCGUCGGCCAGAACUUCCGCAGCAUCGGCAAGAACGUCAACCCCAUCGACGUCAAGUUCACCGGCAAGGCCACCUUCGACUAAUCACACUUCACGUACGCCGCACGCCCCAGCCGGGAUCCAAAUUAAAGAACUUCUUCUUCUAUUAAUUACAGUAUAUUGUAAUUUGGCUGCUGGUACGGUGGUGGCAUGAUUUGAGAUGUGCAUGAUGAUCCUUGUGUAAUUUUAUUACCAAGUCUCUUCUUAUAUUUACAUGUUCAUUUGCUUGCUUCUUGCAUAACAUAACGCCUAUCGACAAUGACCAUCAUUAGUUUUAGUCCUACGUGUAUUUGAUUCAAUCUCUCCGUGUUUAUAGUAUAAAUUCAACCAAACUAAAG
rnacentral:lncRNA from 1 species